rnacentral:lncRNA from 1 species
AGACCUCACAGUGAAAUGCUGAAUACAACAGGUGUAGUAGACCUCACAGUGAAAUGCUGAAUACAACAGGUGUAGACCUCACAGUGAAAUACUUACUUACAGGCUCUAACCAACAGUGCAAAAAAGGUAUUAGGUGAACAAUAUUACAAUUAGGUAAAGAAACAAAACAACAGUAAAAAGACAGGCUAUAUACAGUAGAGGCUAUAUACAGUAGAGGCUAUAUACAGUAGAGAGGCUAUAUACAGUAGAGGCUAUAUACAGUAGAGAGGCUAUAUACAGUAGAGAGGCUAUAUACAGUAGAGAGGCUAUAUACAGUAGAGAGGCUAUAUACAGUAGAGAGGAUAUAUACAGUAGAGAGGCUAUAUACAGUAGAGAGGCUAUAUACAGUAGAGAGGCUAUAUACAGUAGAGAGGCUAUAUACAGUAGAGAGGCUAUAUACAGUAGAGAGGCUAUAUACAGUAGAGGCUAUAUACAGUAGAGGCUAUAU